rnacentral:lncRNA from 1 species
CCAAAUAUUGUUCUCAACAAUCAAGGAAUUCUGGAUUGAGUUGACAAACUGGUGUUGUAAGGUAAGAAUUAACAAGAAUAAAUAGUCUGCUUUUAGUGCUUUAUAUGAAGAAAAUGACAAACUGGCCCAGCUAAGGUAGUCGCCCAGGACCUGUUCAAUAUGAGCCAUGCUGGCCCAUUAAACCGAGUUAGCUUACUUGGCCGGGCCUAGUUGUUAUUUGUUUCACAUGAGGCGGGCUAGCCUGGCAACUGCUAUAAGAAAUUCCCAAACAAUUUUAUAUAUGGUAGGAAAGCGAUAUUUGUUUUAAGGCGUAAAAAAAUACCUGUGGUUCCGGUUCCCGACCGAUCCUAUUUUUUGUGCCGACCCUAUUAUUUUUUCAACGCGAUUGACCGUGUGACCCUAUUUUCUCCAGGUGGUUGUACAAGACCAUCUCGGCACUUGCAAGUCUGUCCAGCCAGACGAAUCAGCCUUGAUCUUGUAAACAGCCCAUGUAAGGACCUUGUUUGUAGGAAUUAUUACAUUUCUUGAUACUGCAUAAAAAAUUUAGUAAAUAUUAACAACACAAUUACAUCUACCCCCAAUGCAGCCCAUUGUAAGGCCUGUUGGCACUGUACUCAAUUUUUGUAUCUGUAACAUGUAUACCAUGCUUCGACUACUCCUAUUCACACAGGCCGAGCAUGGAUAAAUUUGAUACAGGUACCAAUUUUAUCUGUGCCAUACUAGGCGUAUAAAGUACCUGUGUGAUUCCGGUUCCCGAUCGACCCUAUUUUUUUAAAAGUGAUUGACUGUGCGACCCUAUUUUCUCCGGAUGGUUGCGGGCUGCUGCCAAAUGACAUCUGUUGUCACACUAAUUAUUGAAAAAUCCAUGAAAAAAUAUUCAAAAAAAAAAUUAUUUCCGACCUACCAACCCAAAUUUUUUUGCAAUAUGAAACCGGAACCACAGGUAUUUUUUUACGCCCUACUAGAUUAAUCUUGCUAUGUCAAUACCAAACAAUUGUACAUGUCCAGGGUCCUGAUGUAUUAACCCAAUUAUUGGCAGCACUCUUCCCCUGAGUCCCGGACGAGUUAAAUGGUCUGGCAUUAGACAGAGUAAAAUAAUAAAGUAGGGCGCAUCUUGGUGCAUUGGCACUUAAAGGGUUAAUGUAAUGUUACUGCACUACAGUGAUGCUAACUGUAUAAUAAAUUAAAGUUAUUUAAGAGAAGACAGUCAGUUGAGUAUCAUAUUUAGUCCACAAGAUAUAUUCCCCUUUAAACUGGAACUGUUGCAUGACAGAUCAUAAAUUAAUUGACAUAAUCUACUUGGACAGUAGUGCACAAUGCAACUAAAUGGUUAAUUUGACACAUGGGCAGAUAGUCUGAUUAAUCCAUUGAGCUUGACUGCUUUGCCCUUGACAAGUAAAGUUAUCUGGUGUUAGUCAGAGUAAAAUAAUAAAGUAUGAUGCAACAAAAUUUAGUGUCUGGUGAAACUAAGCUUGCUGAUUAAUAGUGAUUAUUGGUUAUUACUUUUUAAAAUAACAUGGGUCCAAGGUCUUUGCCAGAAGAAGUUGCGCCAGAUGGUGGUUUGCCUAAUACCAGAUGGUAGCGGGUGGUGCCCAGAUACCUAUUAUGGCACCAGAUAGUAGUCUACAGGGUUUUUUUUCAGGACUUUCUCUUGGGUCCAUUUUUGCAGAGAAGAUUGAGUUUAGCUGAACAGCUGGGGUGGCUGCACCCCCUCCCCCCUACCGCGGGAGGCUGACACCUAUGCUCAAUAAAUGUAGUUGAGAUGGAAUGUGUUAAAGCAGGGGCACUAAGGGACACUAUAAACUGGUUAAAGAUGGCCAAUGCAUAGUUUUUCCUGUGUUGCAAGAUGAAUUCCAGCCAUUUUUUCUUAAUUGUCGGGCUUCCGACUGAAAACUAAUUUCCACACGUCACAAAAUUUUAUAACUCAAACAACUUCAUUUUUACUUUACUGAAACUUUGGUGAGAAGAUUGAGUUUCAAAACUCAAUUCAAGAUUGAAUUUUUGGGCCUGUUUAACAGCUCUAAAAAAUCCCUGAAAAAAACCCUGGUCUACUGGGUACAGGUCUGGAGAAAGCCUGUCUCUGGUUAACAUAUGUAUAUUUGUCAUACCCUGCAUCACCUUGUACAUACAGAUGAAAUAUGAACUGGCUUUGUUAUUGGUUAAAUAAAGGCUGUUUAUUACAUCCACAGUUAGUAGUCCCUUUUACACUGUAGGUUAAUGAUAAGUCUCAAGGUCAUUGUUCUGGCAUAUUUUGUAUAAAGUAAUGAUUACAUUCUCAACAAGUAAAAUUUUCCUUUUACAGAUUCUAAGAUGAUGGAUCUUUGAUGGCAAUUGCAUGCUGUGUUUGGAACAGUAUUAAUUAAAUGUGCAUGAGGAAAUCAAUGGAUUUGGUGAAUGAACAAUGGUAUAGAUAAUAUUGAUUGUGAAAUGGACAAAAUGUUAAACAAAAUAUGACUUCAGGAGAAACCAGGGUUUUUUCAGGGAUUUUUUAGGGCCCUUUAAACGGCCCCAAAAACUCAAUCUUGAAUUGAGUUUUGAAACUCAAUCUUCUCACCAAAGUUUCAGUGCAGUAAAAAUGAAGUUGUUUGAGUUAUAAAAUGUUGUGACGUGUGGAAAUUAGUUUUCAGUUGGAAGCCC